AUGGCGGGUCUGAAUGGGAGCAUUUCCACUCGCUUCUAUAGCCCCCUGCCAGGCAUUUGUAAGAUGAUUUGUGGCAAAUUUGUUGGAUCAAUAUGGAUGCCGGAGGUGAGGCUCCUCUUUCUGUGUGGGAGCACCGCUUGGUUCCUCGCGGCCGAGUUAAAGCGGAUCUGUUUGAUAUUUUUUAAUUCAAAGAUACAGUUCUAGAAGGAAACCUUUGGAUUAUAGUUUUCUUUUAAAUAUUUUUUAUUAAGUAAUUAUUUUUUUUUUAAGUGUCUCCACCAAAAUUUAUGUAGUGUUAUUAUAUAUAAUAUGUUCAAAAGUUCGGGAUCAGUAAUGUGUUUAUACUUUAAAGUUUUUGAACUAAGUCUCUUAUGCUUAUCAAAGCUGCAUUUAUUUGAUUAAAAAAAUGCAGUAAAAACAGUAAUACUGUGAAUUAUUAUUACAAUUUAAAAUAACUGUUUUCUAUUUUAAUAUAUUUUUUUAAUAUAAUUUAUUUCUGUGAUCAAAGCUGAAUUUUCAGCAUCAUUACUCCAGUCUUCAGUGUCACAUGAUCCUUCAGAAAUCAUUCUAAUAUUCUGAUUUGCUGAUCUGUGCUGGAAACAGUUGUGCUGCCUAAUAUUUUUUGGAAACUUGUGAUACUUUUUUCAAGAUUUUUUGAUGAAAGACAAGUUUAAAACUACAGUAUAUAUUCAAAAUAGAAAUUGCUUUGAUAAAAUGUUUAUACUUGGCACUUUUUAGAUUUAUCUGAUUUUUAAGAUAUUCUCUGGAAUAUCCUUAUUUGUCCUCAUUUGAUCCAAACUGUAACCAAAGAAAGCAAAACGUUACAGUUUUCUCACCUGAACAAUACUGAUGAUGUAUUUACUAAACAGCCCAAAAUAUAUGAGGCACGGAUGUUUUUUGUGAAACAGAAGUUGGCUGAUGUCCACAGCGCGCUCAUGUGUUCCGCCGUCUGCUGCAUUUCAAAGAGGGUUGCGGCACCAAGAAAAUAAAUCAAUAAAUAAAUAAAUAAAAUAAUGGGCAGAACAUCCCAUAAUUCUGAAUGUGAGGCAACAGAUGUUGAUGGUGAAGAAAGAGGCUCUCAGGACUCGGGCCUGUAGAGCUGGCCAUUGUUCGGCCUCAGAGCCAUUUAUGUGGUCGCCAUGGCAACGCUACGCCACUUUUAUCCAUUUCCCUUCGCCGGACGCAUGCUAAUGCGAGAUCAUAGCUCUUAUUGACAAAGAUGAUAGAAGCUGAACAACAAACAGUACCACGUGGAUGAAAGGCAACAGGGCUCCAAGCUUUCAUGUAGAAGGUGCAAAACAGAGUUUUAUUUAGCAGCGCACAGUUUGUUUGAUUAUCAUUAUGAGCAUAAAGCGAACAGAAUAUUUUAUGAUGUUCUAAGCUGUUUACAGCUUCUUAAAAUGUCUCAAUGGUGGCACUUGUUAUUGGAAUCUAGUUGGUGAAAUGUCAGAAGGACCACGUUGAGGUUGUCAGUCAUAUCUGGUCUGUUCUAGAACAAGCUGCACGUGUCUUGUAGUGGACGCAGAUUGUCUUUUUAUGUGGCAAAAAGACUAUUGUCUGCAGGACCAAAGCUGUCCGUGUCAAAGGCAGUUGUGUCCAGCCAGGUGUCGAUCUGUCUUUGAGCUGCUGGACAAUAGUGGGACUCACUGUCAAGUGCCCCGUGUGUCUCUCUAGUCUCUGUCCUGUCCUUGAUUCGCAGAUCGUGUACAUUCAUUCCUAAAUUAAGUCAGUUCUACAUAACAUGUAUAAGAAAGGUGCGUUUGGCACUUGACGUUUCCAAUUGUUUGAAAUAUUGUGAAUAAUAUUUCCUUGUCUAAUGCAAGAAAGAAAAAAAGAAAAAAAAAUUUAUAAAAGAAAAGUUGAAAUAAAAGAAAGUUGAAAAACCUUAAAUUCUAAAUGUCAAAGAUUUUAAAAUAUGAUGUAUAAUAGUGGCAUAACAGCGGUAAUGUAUCACCACAUUAAGUUCUGUUGUUAUAUAACAAUAAACAAAAUACAAUUUCAGCUUUCAAUUCUUAGAAGAUGCAGUGGAGUAUUUCUUUUUAGUAGACAGCUUGUAUUUAUUUGAUUUGGUUGGUAAGAUUCUUUGAGAUGUUUAUUUAAAGGUUUUAUUUAAUUUUUAUUUAUUUAUUUUAUUUUUAUUAUUUUAUGAAAAAUCCUGUAAAAUCAGCAAAUUUGUGAAAUAUUAUUGCAAUUUAAAAUAAAUGUUUUCUAUUGUAAUAUAUUUUAAAGUGUAAUUAAUUCCUGUGAUGCAAAGCUGAAUUUUCAGCAUCAUUACUCCAGUGUCACAUGAUCCUUCAGAAAUCAUUCUUCAUCCUUAAGAAACAUUUCUUAUUAUUAUCAGCACUGAAAACAGCUUAACAUUUUUGUAGAAAUUAGAAAUUAGAUUCUUUGAUUAAUAAAAAGUUACUUGAAAUAUAAAUAUUUUGUAACAAUGUAAAAGUCUUUACUGCC
ensembl:lncRNA